CACGUAGGGCGCAAGCGUUGUCCGGAAUUAUUGGGCGUAAAGAGCUCGUAGGCGGUCUGUUGCGUCCGCUGUGAAAACUCGGGGCUUAACCCCGAGCCUGCAGUGGAUACGGGCAGACUAGAGGUAGGUAGGGGAGAAUGGAAUUCCCGGUGUAGCGGUGAAAUGCGCAGAUAUCGGGAGGAACACCGGUGGCGAAGGCGGCCCCCUGGGUCGGACCUGACGCUGAGGCGCGAAAGCGUGGGGAGCGAACAGG
rnacentral:rRNA from 1 species